rnacentral:tRNA from 1 species
GGCUGUAGCCCAGUAGUAGGGCCUCUGCUUUGUAUGCAGAAGAUCGCUGGUUCAAUCCCCGGCAUUUCUAGGUCA